rnacentral:lncRNA from 1 species
GUAAGGUCUUGCGACGUCAUGCCAACAAGGCGACGGGCCAGCGAUCGUCUUACGGUCGCUUCAUGUGUCCUAGCCAAACGGAACCCCGCUUACGGUGCAAAAUGGAAUUAACCAUAUAAAAAG